rnacentral:rRNA from 1 species
CCUACGGGAGGCAGCAGUGGGGAAUUUUGGACAAUGGGCGCAAGCCUGAUCCAGCAAUGCCGCGUGCAGGAUGAAGGCCUUCGGGUUGUAAACUGCUUUUGUACGGAACGAAACGGUGAGCUCUAAUACAGUUUGCUAAUGACGGUACCGUAAGAAUAAGCACCGGCUAACUACGUGCCAGCAGCCGCGGUAAUACGUAGGGUGCGAGCGUUAAUCGGAAUUACUGGGCGUAAAGCGUGCGCAGGCGGUGAUGUAAGACAGAUGUGAAAUGCCCGGGCUCAACCUGGGACCUGCAUUUGUGACUGCAUCGCUAGAGUACGGUAGAGGGGGAUGGAAUUCCGCGUGUAGCAGUGAAAUGCGUAGAUAUGCGGAGGAACACCGAUGGCGAAGGCAAUCCCCUGGACCUGUACUGACGCUCAUGCACGAAAGCGUGGGGAGCAAACAGGAUUAGAUACCCUGGUAGUCCACGCCCUAAACGAUGUCAACUGGUUGUUGGGUCUUCACUGACUCAGUAACGAAGCUAACGCGUGAAGUUGACCGCCGNGGGAGGUACGGCCGCGAGGUUAGAAACGUACGAAAGUAGAAGUUAGACGGACGUGAGGACGNGGCCGACGGACGACGACGAGGGGAGGUAGG